UCUAUUCCUUGAGACAUGUUUUUCCUUUUUGAUUAACUGAUUUUUUGCUCAUAUCUCAUUCUUUUCAACAAUUUGAGGUAAUGUUCAAAUAACUACUGAGGAGGCCUAACUGACAUUGAGCAGAUUAAAGUGGCUUGUUCUUAUCUUUUAGGAAAAAAAAAAAAGUGGGUUGUUUUUUGAGAGGAAACAAGUGAUGCUUCAUUUUAACUUAUCAACUUUAGCUGAACAAAUGUUGCAAAUUUUCUUCAGGUUUUCUCUCUGUUAACCCUCUACUUUGAUUCUAUUCAAUUCCUCACCUAUAUCCCUUCUUUCAAGUUAUACCAUAUGAUUGUUGCAUUCCAAGAAAUCUUGAUUGACUUCUAUUACUGAACAACAGCUUGGGGGCGGGGAAUUCCAGUAAUGUUGUUACUAUUAAUGCACACAGCUGCAUAGUCGACGAAAUUCAAAAUUGGUCCGCUCAUUACUGGCCCUAUCUUGUGAAUAGAUUUUGUAAUCCUAUUAACUAUAGUAAGCAUUUUCAGUACUAUUUGUUGUGCACUCUCCUUUAAUUAAUACAAUUUUCCCUUUUACUAUUGCAGGUUUCCAGUCGGACUAGUUUUUAAGAUAUAUAUGCCCUUCUAAACUUGUCAUCUGAUCAGGUAGUUCCCACCUGAUACACGAUUUGAAUGUCUAAUUAACAUGGGAAGGUGGCACUUGUCGAUGCACGUGGAGGGGCAUGCUUGUGGAGCUAUAUAUCUCUUUGGAGAAAUGCAACAAGAAAGGGUUAAAGAGGAUGAAUAUAGAAAAUAAGACAUGUCCGGCUGAUUCUUUGAUAAAGGAAGAGGUUCAAUUUCUUCGUGUGGUGAUGGGGCAUGAGGAUGAAUCUCUUGAUGAAUUUAUUAAAGCAUGCAAUGCAUGCCAAGAAGAUCUGAUAUACUUCCCGGCUCGUAAUGCUUAGGGUCUUACCAGCAUUGCCAACAAUAGUGACAAACUUGUGGCCUUGCAAAACAAAUUUGAGAAUGUGAAGAAGAGAAUGGAUGAUGAGGCCAAGAAGGCCAUGUGGCUUGAGCAGAAGAUAAAAUUUCUUACUCAAGGAUAUCAGGUAUAGCGAGAAGUGCUUGUCAAAUGUCAUGGUAGCCAUAUGCCAUUACCACCAUCCUAUUUUUGGAUCAGAUGCUGGUGAAUCAUAUGGCCUUACUUGUACUGUAUUCCCAAUAUAUU